GGGAGCUCUUGUUCUUUGGUGAGCAUGAGUCAUAAGAGCUCCCCCAAGCUGUAGAGUCCUGCCAAACCCCCAACCCCAGAGAUCCAGUUUGGUAGCCCUCCAGGUGAAUCCAGUACAAAUGAGCAGAGUUCAGUCUUGGAGAGACACUGGACAAGUAAGAGCAGAAACUGUUUGCCUUCAGCAGCUGGUUGGCCUUGGGGAGGACAAGAAGAGGGUUGGGAGGUGAAGAAGUGGAGGCAAAAAUUCAGAAAAUACGGACAAGGAGAAAAAGUCACUCAUAGUCCUACCACAUAAACAUGACCACUUUUAAGACUUGGGUGCUGUGUUGACUAACGUCCAAGAUGGACCCUGAAAUCUUCGCCUCCCAGUAUCCAUGCUUUCAUGUAGUUCCCUCCCACAUGGAAUCAGGGCUGGUCCUAUAUGACCAGUAGAAGAUGGGAAGAUGGGAAAGUGACGGUGUGAAACUUCUAAGGCGAGGUCAUAAAAGACACUGCAGUUUCCCCCAUCACUGGGGUUCUUCAACAGCAACACUACUGACAUUUUGGAUCAGAUAAUUCUUUAUUUGAAGGCCUUCUGUCUGCCGGGAAACAGUCUUCGAAGACACUUCUUAACUCUGAGGCUCACAGUGGCGGCUCAGGCUCCUACGCAGAGCACGCCUUCCAUUGAGUUGUCAGUCCCCUCAGCCUCCUUCUGUCUGGAACAGUUCCCAGUCUGCCCCUGUCCUAGUGUCCUGAGCUGACUUCAAGAGCACAAGCCCCGGCGAGAACACCACCAAAAUGACGCUGCGCUCUUCUCAGCACGUCACACCGGGAGGCUCACGCUGCCCACCCACCCCUCUGUGGAGUUGUUACCUCCAUCACCUCGUCACCUGUGUCUACCACUUCCUCCUUUGCAUUUGAUUAAUAUUUUAUGGGGAGAUAAUCCAAUUCAUCAAACUUCU
rnacentral:lncRNA from 1 species